GACGAACGCUGGCGGCGUGCUUAACACAUGCAAGUCGAACGAAGUGGCGAACGGGUGAGUAACGCGUAAUCAACCUGCCCUUCAGAGGGGGACAACAGUUGGAAACGACUGCUAAUACCGCAUACUGAAGGAGGGGAUUGCGUCUGAUUAGCUAGGUGGAGGGGUAACGGCCCACCAAGGCGAUGAUCAGUAGGCCGUUUGGGAGGGGUAACGGCCCAAAGGGGAACGGGAGACGGCCCUUACGACUACGGGAGGCAGCAGUGGGGAAUAUUGGACAAUGGACCAAAGUCUGAUCCAGCAAUUCUGUGUGCACGAUGAAGUUUUUCGGAAUGUAAAGUGCUUUCAGUUGGGAAGCGGUACCAACAGAAGAAGUGACGGCUAAAUACGUGCCAGCCGCCGCGGUAAUAC
rnacentral:rRNA from 1 species